GGCGUAUUAUUCGAUGACUGAGCCGGACCGCUGGUCGACGUGAUGAUGGAUUUCAUUGAAUCGCAUCGUAAUACGCACGGGGUCGAGCCGAUUCUGCGCGGUGCUGCCGAUCGCCCCU
rfam:Loktanella hongkongensis DSM 17492 genomic scaffold Scaffold5, whole genome shotgun sequence.